rnacentral:rRNA from 1 species
GUUGCGAGGCGAACGAGGGGAACUGAAACAUCUAAGUACCCUUAGGAAAAGAAAUCAACCGAGAUUCCCCUAGUAGCGGCGAGCGAACGGGGAUUAGCCCUUAAGUCAGUGGGGUGUUAGUGGAAUGUGUUGGAAAGCACAGCGGCACAGGGUGAUAGCCCCGUACAUGAAAACUAACCAUUGAUGAAAACGAGUAAGGCGGGACACGUGACAUCCUGUUUGAAUAUGGGGGGACCAUCCUCCAAGGCUAAAUACUCCUGACUGAC